GAUGAACGCUGGCGGCGUGCCUAAUACAUGCAAGUCGAGCGAACGGACGAGAAGCUUGCUUCUCUGAUGUUAGCGGCGGACGGGUGAGUAACACGUGGAUAACCUACCUAUAAGACUGGGAUAACUUCGGGAAACCGGAGCUAAUACCGGAUAAUAUUUUGAACCGCAUGGUUCAAAAGUGAAAGACGGUCUUGCUGUCACUUAUAGAUGGAUCCGCGCUGCAUUAGCUAGUUGGUAAGGUAACGGCUUACCAAGGCAACGAUGCAUAGCCGACCUGAGGGAGUGAUCGGCCACACUGGAACUGAGACACGGUCCAGACUCCUACGGGAGGCAGCAAUAGGGAAUCUUCCGCAAUGGGCGAAAGCCUGACGGAGCAACGCCGCGUGAGUGAUGAAGGUCUUCGGAUCGUAAAACUCUGUUAUUAGGGAAGAACAUAUGUGUAAGUAACUGUGCACAUCUUGACGGUACCUAAUCAGAAAGCCACGGCUAACUACGUG
rnacentral:rRNA from 1 species